rnacentral:rRNA from 1 species
GUCGUAAAACCACUGAUGAAUAAGGGGUGGGCAAGUUCUGGUGUCAGCCGCCGCGGUAAAACCAGCACCUCAAGUGGUCAGGAGGAUUAUUGGGCCUAAAGCAUCCGUAGCCUGUCCUGUAAGUUUCCGGUUAAAUCCAUUUGCUCAACAAAUGGGCUGCCGGAAAUACUACAAGACUAGGGAGUGGGAGAGGUAGACGGUACUCGGUAGGAAGGGGUAAAAUCCUUUGAUCUAUUGAUGACCACCUGUGGCGAAGGCGGUCUACCAGAACACGUUCGACGGUGAGGGAUGAAAGCUGGGGGAGCAAACCGGAUUAGAUACCCGGGUAGUCCCAGCUGUAAACGAUGCAGACUCGGUGAUGCCCUGGCUUGUGGCCAGUGCAGUGCCGCAGGGAAGCCGUUAAGUUUGCCGCCUGGGGAAGUACGUACGCAAGUAUGAAACUUAAAGGAAUUGGCGGGGGGGCACCACAAGGGGUGAAGCCUGCGGUUCAAUUGGAGUCAACGCCAGAAUCUUACCCGAGAGACAGCAGAAUGAAAGUCAAACUGGAGAUUUACCAGACAGCUGAGAAGAGUGCAUGGCCAGGCGAUUCAGCAACUGGCGGCC